rnacentral:rRNA from 1 species
GUGGGGAAUUUUGGACAAUGGGCGCAAGCCUGAUCCAGCAAUGCCGCGUGCAGGAAGAAGGCCUUCGGGUUGUAAACUGCUUUUGUACGGAACGAAACGGUCCUGGCUAAUAUCCGGGGCUAAUGACGGUACCGUAAGAAUAAGCACCGGCUAACUACGUGCCAGCAGCCGCGGUAAUACGUAGGGUGCGAGCGUUAAUCGGAAUUACUGGGCGUAAAGCGUGCGCAGGCGGUGCUGUAAGACAGGCGUGAACUCCCCGGGCUCAACCUGGGAAUUGCGCUUGUGACUGCAGUGCUGGAGUGCGGCAGAGGGGGAUGGAAUUCCGCGUGUAGCAGUGAAAUGCGUAGAUAUGCGGAGGAACACCGAUGGCGAAGGCAAUCCCCUGGGCCUGCACUGACGCUCAUGCACGAAAGCGUGGGGAGCAAACAGGAUUAGAUACCCUUGUAGUCC